rnacentral:lncRNA from 1 species
AUUCCUGUUUUUUUCAUUGGCUUAAGUUCAAAUUGCUAUCUGAACCCUUUCCUUUCCAGAAAUAGGAACUUUUGGAUUGGAAGCACAGGCAAGAAUGGCCUACAUCCUUGAUGUAUAUUAAAAUGACCACACAGAGUUCCUACUGAAUAUAGAAAAGAAAGAACCAUAUUUGUAACUAUUCCUUGUCACUAAGGUGUUAUCUACACAAAAGCAUUGUAACCAAAUAGAAAUAUGGUGUAUUGGACCUUAAGACAUUUUCAGCAUUUUCUACUGUUUUCUAGUGCUCUCCUUCAUGCGUACAUCUAAGGAUCCGUGUAACAUGGUGUCUGUUUUUCUCCUUUCAAAAAAUGAGAAUGAUCAAGAUGAAAAAAUGAAAAAAGAGUGA